GUGCAAAUAACUUUGAUAAGUGGAUGCUGAGGCUGUAACUGUUUAAUAUGUCCAUUUCAGUGCUAAAAUCGUCAACGUUCCAACGGCAUCAUAGAUUGGAGCUGGAUAGAUUCAGAUAUCCCCCGAUUACAAGGUGAGUUUAAUCAAACAUGAUAUAAAUUCUGCAAAGUAAGCCUUUAACACAAUAGCAACGAAGUAAUAUUGAUGUAUCUGUAACACGCUGAAAUUAUCGUCUUCUCGUUUGCUAAUUUUAGCUUGCUAUCUUUUCAUUUAAUGCCUAAUAGUGUAUAUUAGACAAAACGUUGAUUUCAAUAACGUUGUGCUUGCGAAUUUGGGCAUCUUCCACUGCAGCUGAUGUAGAAAGGACACUUGAACUACCUUCAACUCCUCGACUGAUACUCUUUGGUGAAAAACCAGGAAGCUGCAUUCAUAAAUGGAUGAUUAGUUUUGAGGGGCAAAUAAUCUGUGAGGGCAUCCAGCCAAGUUUUCUGUCUGGACUUGCUGCUGUGUUUUCAACUUUCUACAAUUUCAAUGUGGAGUACCAAGCUGAGGCUGCAUCCACGUUGGAAUUUAUUCAGAGGUGCUUCAUUGGAAUAAAUCCUGAAAAAGGCACCAAGGGUGGACAAGUCCUAUCAAAGCGGACAGGGAAGGUCGGCCACAAAAAGAAAUCAGUCAACACUCGGGUUGCCAGUCUACUUAAGAAGCUAAUGGACUUUGAGUGGGACUUCAUAUAAGUGAACUCACUCAUCCACUGACAUACCACACACACACACACCGUACACAUACUCUUCACACAUGAUAAAAACAUGUUUUUAGUGUGUUUAGUCGCACAAUUUUUUCAGGUGUUCAUUCUUGAAUACCUACAUUUUGACUUCAUUCAUCAUUGAAUUAUUUCUUCAUUCAGUAACUCUUAUUCACUAAUAAUUUAGUAAUUCUUAUUCUCUCAGCAGUUCGCUUAAGUCACUCAUUUAGUUUUUUCUAAUGUUAUGUAAAUUAUUUGUUUAUUCAGUUAAACGAAAGUUUACUCUGAGGCUUAAGUUUUAGUCAUUCCACUUGCAUCAGCCACUAAUUUUGAGAAUAUUUUGUGAUUUAAAGUGGCUUUUUUUUUUCAAGU